rnacentral:lncRNA from 1 species
UUGCACGAAUUCAUCAUGCUCUAGGAGACAGUAAACUAGCAAUAUCAUAUCAGCACAAAACUGUCAUUAUGUAUGAGAGACUACUAGGAGUGGACCACUGCAGCUCUAUAUCAGCCUAUUUCCAUUUGGCUUAGUAUUGCUGUGGGGCUGAGAGGAAUGUUGUGGCGUUGAGAUUACUGUAUAGAGUUAGGUAUCUAAUAAUGUUAAGACAUGGUGAGGAUCAUCCUGAAAUGUCUAAUGUUGAUUUUUACAUUGGUUUACUACUGAGUAAUGCUGGUCAUUAUGAAGAAAGUCAGGCAUAUCUGGAAAGUGCUCUUAGAUUACAAAACAAGUUUCAUGGAAGUCAAUCAAUUACUGUAGCCACAAUUCAUCAUCUUCUUGCCAACUCAUUGACUCACAUUGGAGCAUUUGCUGAAGCUAAGCAAAAUAAGAGAAAAGCAUACAAUAUCUAUAGGACUAAAUUUGGCCCAGAUCAUGCACGUACUGUUCAGUCUUUUAAAAAACGUGAGGUAUAUCACUGAAAAGCAAGUCUCUUAUGAGCAGACUGUUGCCUAAAUUUUCUUGCCAGUUAUUUGAAUGUUACAUCAUCUAAUCGUUUAGCAGUGCAGAGUCAUCAUUAACUGAGAAGCAACUGAUGGUGAGACUAGACCUGUAGGAAGAGGAACAGCUACACGUAAUAGAGAAGCAACUGAUGGUGAUACUAGAGCUGUAAGAAGAGAAACAGCUACACGUAAUAAUGCAGAGAUAGCCGUUACAGUUGAUGGUACAUUAAAGGUCUUCCAGUCCAUUCUCAUUGACUUAAUUGCAGACUUCUUACUAGCUCUUGUUGUUCACAGAGACUCGUGGCAGAUAUAUGAUGCUAUUGUAAUUCAUCCUUGUGAGCCAGGAGUAACUGAAUGGAUCAAUGUCUACAACCUAAAAUGGUGCGUCUUGUAGUGACGGACCAGUUCCUGAUCUUUGUUGGACGGGACAGGGUCACCACUCCCUUGUAUAUCAGGAUUUGUGUAUUUUA